GUCUGUGGGAAUCUAAAUCAACAAACCCAUGCUAAUUAUGACCGUGCUGAAGUAUGUUCGCAGUACCUGAGUUAGCGCCAACAGGAAGUUCAAUGUGUUGUCAUAGAAAUCAGAGCCCUGACUUCUACAACAGUGUUACAGGAGACGUACUUAGGCAGAGAUUAUAUAUGAUGCACUUCUAAAGAGCACAUAACUGCCUUUGGACAACAUCUGCUUAUAGUGAGAUACUUCGCUACGUUUUAUUGUUGUCUUUUAGCAUCAAAAAAUUUGAUACAGGAUUAUCUGGAUUGUACUAUGGGGUGCAACUCAAGUAAAGAUACUGAGGUUGUGGAUUCAUCCAAAAAACCUAAAGACAGACCCAAAUCAGCCGACUCAUCGGACAAAGAAGAAGAGGACAGUGUCAAUGAAAUCUCACACACAGAGAAUAAUGAAGUUGAGACAGAAGACUGAUAAUGUCUUAAUUUGUUGGCUACCUUCCUCAAGCUCCUAUGUUGCAGUUUAUUACCAGUCCAGCUGUGAUCGGCUAAGUUUCCAGGAGAGUGUGAUGAGAUCUACACCAGCCUGUUACUUUAUAUGAUGUCUCCGAUCUCUACAUAUAUCUUCUCAUCUCAUCAUGUCACCUCUGUCUAUUAUACAUACUUCAAUCCCUUCAUUCUGUAUAUAUUUGGUUCCUUGCAUGAUUAAACUGUUUGGCAAAGUGGCAAAGGUAAAAAACUAGAGCACUGGAAUUGACCUGUAAUAUCCUCAAAGACCACCAGAUGCCUCUCUCUCUCUAUUUAAAUUUUAAAUCUAUGUAAUUCUGACAAAUUUGACAAAACCUGAACGAUUGUUUGCAGCACAAGACCACAAAAUUACAUAAAAUAACAAGUACAAAUUUACUAAUCAAAUAAAAAAACAAUGAAAAGUCAAAAGUGCAAAAUGAAGUAAAACUGCAAAAUAAGCAAAAAAGUCAACAAAUUUAAACAAAAAGAAAUAAAGACGAAUUUGAACAAGUAACAAAGAAUGAUAAAGACAACUAAUUUUGUUAUAAUGAGACUAAAAAAAUAAUACAUGUUAAAACAGGCUACUUUACAAAGUGGUUUGAAAGAGUUUUCUGGGAAUUUUCUUUUGAUAGUUACUGUUUGUAUACUGAGCUAAUGAUAUUUUUAUGCCAAGUGCUGUAGAUUAAUUACAAAUUGUAGUCGGUUACUGAUUCCAAAUUACAUGACAAAAUCUGUAGUUAGUAACAUAAUCUAAUAUACAGAUUUAAGGUAUAAUUUGACUUUUUAGAUUACUUUUGACCUAACUCGUUUAUCACAUUGAUUUGAAUUGGAUAAUCUUGUAUAACCGUAUUGACAUAAUAUAUAUAUAUAUAUAUAUAUUCCAUUCUUUGUUAUCAAGUGCAUUAAAUAUUACAUUAUGUCAGAGUUUCCCAGACUGGGAUUCAUGAUGGAACUGCUGUGGGUUCGUGAGUUUUAUGAAAAGCUGUUAAUUAAAUCAUAAAAGUGUAAAAUUAAAAUAAAUAAUUGAAAAAAUAAAAACAAAAAUUAAAAUAAA